rnacentral:rRNA from 1 species
UACGGAGGGUGCAAGCGUUAUCCGGAUUUACUGGGCGUAAAGCGCACGUAGGCGGAUCGAUCAGUCAGGGGUGAAAUCCCAGGGCUCAACCCUGGAACUGCCUUUGAUACUGUCGAUCUGGAGUAUGGAAGAGGUGAGUGGAAUUCCGAGUGUAGAGGUGAAAUUCGUAGACAUUCGGAGGAACACCAGUGGCGAAGGCGGCUCACUGGUCCAUUACUGACGCUGAGGUGCGAAAGCGUGGGGAGCAAACAGG